GUCAGCUGGCUGCUGUGAGGAUGAGUCAGUGCUUGGAGGAGCUGCCUAUGAGAACCAUUGAAGUGCAUAUGUGAAGAGCUCCUCUCACUGGCUUGUUCUCAGUGAGAUGACACAGGCUGCCAAUCACCCUGCUGGCCACUCCAGCUGCCCAAACCUGCCCUGCUCCCUGGCUGGGGGCAGAAGAACAGACGUGGCUGGAACAGUGAAAAUGAAAUGCAGAGAAUUUGAAGGAGCUGCUCCAAACCCAGCAUCACAAUUAUGGCUGGAAAGCACAGUGCUCUGCCUCCUCAGUCUGCAGUACACCAACUCCUCCUGUCAGGAGAGGGAAAUCCCGGCUCUUGCCUUCUGCUUAUGAAGCACUUCAUAAGACAUCAGAACCCUCUGAAAUGACUACCCAGGGAAGAAGUUUCUCCGCUAAUAAUUUCAGUUUCGUUUCAGCAAGAGUAGCUGUGAAUAAGGUCAGUCAUAGAGCCAUAGAAUUGUAGAAUGUUCUGGGUUGGAAGGGACCUUAAAGAUUACCUAUUUCCAACCUCCAUAUCCGUAUUUGUGUUAAGGAGAUCUCCCCAUCCAGCUGUUCAGCAGAUGGACUCUGGCAGUGCCACCCACCUGCCCUCCCUCUGCAGCUCAGCCCCACACCCCCAUGGUCAUACCAGCUCUUCUCAGACAUCCCAAACCCAGGUUCCUAUAGGAGAGUCUGCGGUACCCAGAUCCUCAAAUAAUUUAUCACAGAGCAAUAACAAAAUCACAGCUUGAGCUAAGUCCAAGGAGGGACUCCUGAACAAAGGAAAGGCUGGGUUUUUAUACCCUGGCAGUCUAGGAUGUGAAGGUCUGGAGUGCUCAGCUCCUGACACGUACGUCUCUGUGUCCCCAGCUGAGCCGGUGCUCCAUGCCCGCACCCUUGGCCAUGCUCAGGACUGCUCCUGCUUUGGGCUUCCCCACCACAGCUCAACCUUUAAAUCCCUCUGUCUUUGGUCUCUUAGUAUUACACUGCCCAAAAGCAUAUUCCUUUUCAGUAGCUGUCUUUUACACUACUGAGCUGUUUUAAUCCUUGUCCUAACCCUCAUCCUAACCUGCUGUUAAAGUCCAUUCCCCUUGCAGGAGGGAGAAGAGCUUUCAGUGAGAUUCUCAACACAGCACAUGGUCUCCUGUGCAGAGAGGUCUGGGGGAUCUGGGACCCCACAUCAACAACCCAAUUAGCAGAGCUGCUCCACUGAGGCUACAGCAUUUCUAAUGGAUUCAAUGACCUUUAUGCUAUUAGUUUAUUAAUAACAAGAAAAUCCUGCUUUCUGACCUCUCACAUGAACUUCUGGUCCUUCUGGUAGCUUGUCAUUGCUACUUAAAAAUGCAGUCUUCUUUCAAUGGACAGAAUUGCUUGACAGCACUUACAUAGAGUCCUUUGUCAAGAAGUGAACAAUGACUAUAAUAUUUCAAAAUUGUUUCUCUGUUCAAAAGCAAUGGAUAAGAAGGGAAGAAAAUGGAAGAGAGACUUUCCCAACAGCUGGCCCAUAGCAAGAGUUUACCUGUGCAGGAGAAAGAAAUGUCUCUGAGUGCCUCUAUUUAUAGUCUUCUUUUGAAUCCACUAAAGGACAGGCAUAUUACAUACAGGUAAAAAUCAAAUGAAAAAUACAAAAAUAAUUGUAGUAUAGACUGGGCACACUUUUAAAUAUCAGUUCAAAAAUGCAAAGUAUUCUGUCCCAGUAAUGCUCACCUUAUGAUUAAGCAAAAGUGGUACAUAUAUAAAAAAUUGCAAAUAAAGAAUUUGCAUGUUUUCCAGUCCAGUGUCUCAAAUAUAACUGUAUUACCACUCUAGCAUUUCCUUCGCUGUAACCACGUAAGGGUGUUACUAAAUUUUGUGACUGGUGUGUAAUAAGAAUAUGCAUUCUUUCUAAGCAUAGAUUAAAAUUUAGCUGGAAAAUAGCUGGAAUUUAAUAAUCCAGUGAUGGAAAUCUUGCACAGCACAGGCAGGAAAAGUGACUGAAAAAGAAGAGAGGAUAUUUUGCCUGCAGAAGGGAAUGACAUGAGUAGCUGAGCUUCUACCAUCAAGACAGCGCUGAGCACAGUGAAAAGAUACAAGAAAGGUAUAAUCAAAAGAAAGAACUAUAAUUUUCCAGAACAAGAUGAGGAUAUUGAGACAGGACUAUUUAACAAGACAAAGGAGCACUCCAUCUCACUGCCUGGUGUACAUGUUCAUGCACAGAUAUUAUCUCCUUGGGAGAUGGCUCCUCCUGCCAGAUUGUUCCUGAUGGGUGGGGAAGGGAAGGUGGCAUCCUGUGACAGAGCAAACUUGCAGCCCCUCUGCCACCACAUCGCAACUUUGGGCAAUGCCCACACCCGUUGCUUGUCUCCUCACCCAUUCCCACAGCCCCUUCUCUAAGAAGCAGAAAGAUCCUCCCAUGAAGUCAGCACAAAGUCUCAUUUUCCCUUUUUUUGGGCAGAUCAUCUAAUCCUUGCCUAUGCUGCUAAGCUAUAUCCAGCCCUGACAGGCUCCUGGCCUUGGAAAUGCUGUGCCUGAUCCAUCUUCCUACUGGCCACCUACUUACUGUCUCUUUCCCUCUGGCAUCUUCCAUGCUGCCUGUAAAGAUAGACUCCUCUCACUUACUGCAGGGUGAAAAUAAAUGGGGAUGAUGAUUUUAAGGAAGUCAGUGUGAUUUUGUAGAAGUGUCUU